GGCCUGGCUUCGCGGCCGGCUGAAGUAUUUUUUUUUCACCCAUGUCUUUUGCGCACUUGUUGUUUCCUGGGCGGGUUCGCCCGCCACCAGGACCAAACCAUAAACCUUUUUUUUUAUGUAGUUGCAAUCAGCGUCAGUAAAAACAAUGUAAUUAUUACAACUUUCAACAACGGAUCUCUUGGUUCUGGCAUCGAUGAAGAACGCAGCGAAAUGCGAUACGUAGUGUGAAUUGCAGAAUUCAGUGAAUCAUCGAAUCUUUGAACGCACAUUGCGCCCUUUGGUAUUCCAAAGGGCAUGCCUGUUCGAGCGUCAUUUGUACCUUCAAGCUUUGCUUGGUGUUGGGCGUUUUUGUCUCUCGUUCUCGGGAGACUCGCCUUAAAACGAUUGGCAGCCGGCCUACUGGUUUCGGAGCGCAGCACAUAUUUUGCGCUUUGUAUCAGGAGAAAAGGACGGUAAUCCAUCAAGACUACAUUUUUUAACUUUUGACCUCGGAU
rnacentral:rRNA from 1 species